ACUGCAGUGAAGUUAGUUUCGUGUUGGAUAUUCCAAUAUCCGCCGAGCAAACGGCGUUUUGCUCAAGGUUGAUCCGAUUUAUGAAUGCUAAUUUCGGCCAGCCGUUCUCAAGCUCCCUCCUCAAGUUCUCAGAGGUUCACUUAGACCAGGGACUGGCAACAAAUUUCCAAACCAAACACUCCGGUCAGACAAAUGGUAAUAAAUGCCUUGUGACCAACUGAUACAAAAAGGUGGUAAUUCAAGCUUUUACAUGAGACACACGACCCUCUAUUAAAAUGUCAAGUCAUAUUCAAUAGUUUAAAUCAUUUUAAUAUUGAAUAAUAUCAUUCACACAGAUUUUGACUCAAUAAGUCAGCUCUAGAAGCUGUUGAAGAGAAAUAGUAAAUUUAAACAAAAAAAUAUUUAACAAAAAUAAAAAAAUGAGUUAAAAUGCAAUAAAAAUGCGUGUGCCUCAUAUAUACAGUUUAGUACAACAAUUACGCACUGACUUCUAGUCAAUGUGGCACACGUCAUGGA